CUUCCCCUGAGCCUGCCAGGGCACGGGCUGGGAGACAAGAAGCGCCUUCUCCACCCCGUAAGCAACCGGCUGCUUCGGAGGAUCACAGGCUGAGUUGACAGC
rnacentral:snoRNA from 1 species